rnacentral:rRNA from 1 species
AGAGUUUGAUCAUGGCUCAGAACGAACGUUGGCGGCGUGGAUUAGGCAUGCAAGUCGAACGAAUCCCAGCGCUGUAGCAAUACAGAGGCUGGGGAAAGUGGCGAAAGGGGCAGUAAGGCGUGGGUAACCUACCUCGGGGACGAGGAUAGCCAUCCUAACGGAUGGGUAAUACUCGGCGAUGUGGCGAGUUCGCAUGUUCUUGCCAUGAAAUGAGUUUCGCCUCGAGAGGGGCUCACGUAGUAUUAGCUUGUUGGCGGGGUGACGGCCCACCAAGGCAAAGAUGCUUAGCGGGUGUGAGAGCACGACCCGCGCCACUGGCACUGAGACACUGGCCAGACUCCUACGGGAGGCUGCAGUCGAGGAUCUUCGGCAAUGGGCGCAAGCCUGACCGAGCGACGCCGCGUGUGCGAUGAAGGCCUUCGGGUUGUAAAGCACUGUCGAGGGGGAGGAAGCCCGCAAGGGUUGACUAAUCCCUGGAGGAAGCACGGGCUAAGUUCGUGCCAGCAGCCGCGGUAAGACGAACCGUGCGAACGUUGUUCGGAAUCACUGGGCUUAAAGGGCGCGUAGGCGGGCGAUCAAGUCCGGGGUGAAAUCUUUCGGCUCAACCGGAAAAGUGCCUUGGAUACUGGUCGUCUCGAGGAAGGUAGGGGCAUGCGGAACAUCCGGUGGAGCGGCGAAAUGCGUAGAUAUCGGAUGGAACGCCGAUGGCGAAAGCAGCGUGCUGGACCUUUUCUGACGCUGAGGCGCGAAAGCUAGGGUAGCGAACGGGAUUAGAUACCCUAGUAGUCC